rnacentral:rRNA from 1 species
AUGGAGGGGAAGAGCCACGGCAGGUCCGGGACGUGGCGGCAAGCGCCGGUGCCCGUGAGGCAGCUGUUCUGGAGGCUGAGGCGCGCUAUGCUGAGGCCGAAGCGCCACGCCGUGAGCUUCGGGUACGACCUCAAGAGCUACUCCCGUAACUUUGAUGACGGCCUCGUCCCUGCUCACCGCCUGUAG